ACCAACAAAGUUUGUUUCCAACAAAAAAUUUUAAACAAAAAAUGUUAUGAAAACAUAAGAAAUACACCCAUUUCUCCUGGUUCAUCUCGGCACAUCUACCAAACUGCCAUGAUAUUUUUCUCUUCUGCCAGCGACCACGUCCCUCCUCACAUGUACAACGGUCAUUUAAUGAGCUCUUCGCCACCGCAACUGUCAUCAUCGUCGGAACCGACAUCGGCAUGUGGUUGUUGUUUUUUGUUUCCGUCAGCUCUUCUUUCAUUACCACCGCCGCUGGAACCUUUCAUCUCCGAUGGAGAUAAAUUAAUGUUUCUGGUGUUGUUUUCUUCUCUGAAACCAUCGCCCCUGUUAUUUUCACUUCCAUCCUUAACAAAAUUCAAUAAAAUUUUUACAAAUACCCAUUAAAGUACGAUCAAAACCCAGGUUAUGAAUUGUGUUUUGAUUUCAUCGACGGCGGCGGACAGCAGAGAAAAAAGUUGAUGGUGGUGGUGGGUUGAAGUGUUGUGUAUAAACGCAGGCUAGGAGGAGGAUGGGUAAAGAAGGCCAACGCUCUUCUUCUGUUCUCUCUCUUUCACAGAUUUUCUGUUUGUUUUUUUUCAAUAAAAUUAUUUGCAGAUCCAGAUAACUAUCUCUCUUCCACUGAUCACAGAUUGAUCAGUUUCACUAUAUUCUCUUCCUCUAUAUUUUCUGGAUUAUAUUUUGAAAGAAUAGGUUUGUAAGAUUGAUCCAGAUAACUAAUACUUUUUAUUGGAUGCAGAUCAAUCCAAAUAUGUAUUGUGUUUUGUUGGUACUGUGACGAGAAGUAGUUUUGUAGGAUUGAUCCAAUAACCGAUACUUCUUUUAGCAAUAAGUGUCAUAGAGGCUGGCUGUUGAGAAUUUGCAUUUGAGUUAAUUAUUCGUGUUCUCCAUCGCUAGAAGAGACAGAGGAAAAAGAAUUGACAUGAACGAUGAAUUGACAUGUGAGUACCUAAAAGAAGCAACCACAAAAGGAAUUGACAUCGAUAUUCUGGCUAUGUCUUUUCUGCUUCUUUGCCUCCAUAUCUUGCAAGUGCUGCCAUUACAGCUAUUGACGUCCUUGAGGAAAAUCCCAAUCUAUUAGCAAAGUUGAAGAGCAACAUUGAUGUGUUAUGGAAAGGGAGGGUUUGAUCUCAUUGCUACUGUCAUGAAUUGAUGUUUAUUUAUGCCUUUGCCAGCGUAUAAAACAUUGAUUUUAUAAUUUAAGAACUUUGAUUCUGAUACAUUGGCUACUGCAGGGGUGUCGAAAAUACCAGGCUUCACAAUUGCAAGUCAUCCAGAGUCGCCAAUUGUUUAUUUGAUUUUAAGGAAUUCAAUGGGUUCUUUGAAAGAUAACCUACAGCUGCUUGAAAAUAUUGCCGAGCAUGUUUUGAAAGAAGAUUCUGUAUUUGUGGUGGCUUCCAGAAGAUCGACAUUGGACAAGUGUCGAUUACCUCUAUGAAUUAGAUUAUUUGUUUCUGCAGCGCAUUCAGAGUCCGAUCUUCACAAGGGAUCUGAGUCAUUGAAAAGGGUUGCAGCAUGGUCAUAAAUGAACCAUGUACACCUCUCUUCUGCUUCUUUUCAUGCACCAAAAUGUCAGUUUUAUUCAUUCCACUUUUAGUUGAGGUUGCCGAAGGACCCUGCCAAUGAUCAAUAUUACACUAAUGAUGUUGUAGAAUAUGAGUGCAAGAUGUUAAGGAAUGAAAUAAAGAAACAAAGGUCUACCAUGAUUUUGGUAUGUACAAGUUUGUAAAGUAAAGGGGCAGCAAAAACAAUCAGUUGUUGU